UGGCGGCGGCCUAACCAUGCAAGUCGAGCGCACCUUCGGGUGAGCGGCGGACGGGUUAGUAACCCUUGAGGACGUGCCCAGAUCUGCGGAAUAGCCACUGGACUUGGUGAGUAAUACCGCAUACGCCCUUCGGGGGAAAGAUUUAUCGGAUUUGGAUCGGCCCGCGUUAGAUUAGGUAGUUGGUGGGGUAAUGGCCUACCAAGCCUACGAUCUAUAGCUGGUUUUAGAGGAUGAUCAGCAACACUGGGACUGAGACACGGCCCAGACUCCUACGGGAGGCAGCAGUGGGGAAUCUUGGACAAUGGGGGCAACCCUGAUCCAGCCAUGCCGCGUGAGUGAUGAAGGCCCUAGGGUCGUAAAGCUCUUUCGCCUGUGAUGAUAAUGACAGUAGCAGGUUAUUUUUCCCCGGCUAACUCCGUGCCAGCAGCCGCGGUAAUACGGAGGGGGUUAGCGUUGUUCGGAAUUACUGGGCGUAAAGCGCGCGUAGGCGGACCAGAAAGUUGGGGGUGAAAUCCCGGGGCUCAACCCCGGAACUGCCUCCAAAACUCCUGGUCUAGAGUUCGAGAGAGGUGAGUGGAAUUCCGAGUGUAGAGGUGAAAUUCGUAGAUAUUCGGAGGAACACCAGUGGCGAAGGCGGCUCACUGGCUCGAUACUGACGCUGAGGUGCAAAAGUGUGGGGAGCAAACAGGAUUAGAUACCCUGGUAAUCCACACCGUAAACGAUGAAUGCCAGUCCUUCGGAAGCAUGCUUGUCGGUGACACCCCAAACGGAUUAAGCUUUCCGCCUGGGGGAUACGGGCGGCAGAAUUAAAAACUCAAAGGAUUUGAGCGGGGCCCCGCACAAGGGGGGAAACAGGUGUUUUUAUUCAAAGCACUCGCCAAAACCUUUCCAAACCUUGGAAUCCUGGGCCCAAUUCCGAAGAUAGAUGUUCCCUUCCGGGACCCAUGAAAAGGGGCUUCAUGGCUGUC
rnacentral:rRNA from 1 species